UACGUAGGGGGCUAGCGUUGUCCGGAAUCAUUGGGCGUAAGGAGCGCGUAGGCGGCCAGAUAAGUCCGGUGUGAAAGUCAAAGGCUCAACCUUUGAAUGCCGCUGGAAACUGUCUGGCUAGAGUCCGGGAGGGGCGAGUGGAAUUCCUGGUGUAGCGGUGAAAUGCGCAGAUAUCAGGAGGAACACCAAUGGCGAAGGCAGCUCGCUGGAACGGUACUGACGCUGAGGCGCGAAAGCGUGGGGAGCGAACAGG
rnacentral:rRNA from 1 species